UUGUUGCACUUGCAGUCAC
rnacentral:snRNA from 1 species